AAAAACUCAGAAAAACCACUGACAACACCAACAAAAGAAAAAUACAACAAGCAAUACUAUUACACCAAAGAAGGGAAAUUUUCGGGAGCGUAUAAAAAGAGACGGAAAAAAUAAUCAAUUUGCUACUCUUCAGGGAAGUGAGGAUUGAGUCUUAAUCUAAAAAACCCUAAAAAUAGAAAAUCACAUAAAAAAAAAUGGAAACAUUGCACAUGUAAUAAAAAAAAAUAAAUAAAAAGAUCCGAUUUUUCCGCCGAGAAAACAGCACCCAUAGUCAAAUAUUACAAAUAAUAAUAAUUUUAAGAAAAAAAACUGAUAUUACUACAUGUGAAAAAUCAAACACCGAAAAUCUGUGACUGACGGAUCGAGCCGCAC
rnacentral:misc_RNA from 1 species